UAGAGGUUUUUUCUUUGAUUUUAUUGGGGUUUUCCACAGCUGGGUUUUCUCAAAAUAAUUAUUAAGUGCAGUUGAAUGCAAAUUAGUAUGCAUCCACGAUACAGCCUAAUAAGCCUGCUAUGAUAAUUACUAUCAUACUGGCCCCAAUUUAGGAAUCCAGAUGGCGUGAUUUUGUCUAUUGAGAAAUCACGCCAUGUCCAGCAGCAACAACAAAUAAAUAAAGACGUGCCCACAAAUUAGGGAGUUGACUAUACAAAAUGGUUGCCUAAAUUGUUGACGCUUUCACAAACAACUGUUUUUUACACCAGCCUCUCUUUAAGUGUGUAUACUUAAUGUAUGAUUUGUGUUUGCUAUCAGAGCCCUAUGCAAACUGAUAAGAUUUAGAAGUAUUUCAUAACGCUGAGAGUGCAAAACGGCGAAAAACAAGUGUGUAUUACAAUACUUCUAUUGAUAAACUUGACAAUUGCUCGAACAAUCUUUUGAAGAAUGACAUUGCAUAUUGAAUAUUGAAACUUUGAACGAGUAUUGGAAAGAAUAACUGAACUGAACUAAACAACACAGCACAGGCAAACCGGCUGUGCCUUACAAAGAGAAAGAGAGACAACAAAAUAAACAAGCACAUAAAUUGCAUAUAAGGCGUGUGUGUGAGUGACUGCCAACAUACUUAUACACAUGCAUAUGCAUAUGCGCUAAAUAAGUGUGUGUGUGCUUGCAUAUGUUGUGUUUGCUUAUUGGGGAAAGUUCAACUCAAA